GUAAGCCACUUGGCAUCUCCGAGCAUCUACCUCCUUCCCAAAUGAUGGGAACCCUGAUCCCUGCCUCUCAGGGUGGGUGAGAGAAUUUAGUGAGGCUGACAGAUGGCACUCAAUAGAUGCACAAAUCCCUGCUCAUCUGUCCUGGAGUCUAGGCCCAGGGGUCCAGAGAGGGUAAGGGCCUUGCCUGAAUUGCCUAGCAGCAGAAAGGUCCCUUCUCCUCCAACUCUGAAGAAGCAAGAGCCAGGCACAAGAGCACAUUUCUGGGAGGGCAUAUAGGGAUUUUCCAGGAACAGCUCCAUCCAACUGGAGAAUUCCAUUCCCAGCCCUGCUGCCCAGGGCCCAGGCUAAGGAGGAGACACUCCAGCUCACUCUGGUUCUGUCCAGUUCCUGCUCCUCGCCGGCAGAGCCCAGGCAGAGUGCCCCACACCCUGUUCUCUUGCUGUUUGCUGUGGGGUUUGAGGGGCCUGAGGCUCCUAGGUGCCCCCCUCGAGGCCCUGGCACAGAACAGCUGGUCUGAGCACACAGUUGGUCCUCUCCCAACCCCUGAUCCCUUCCAGGAGCCCACUGUUUCCUUCAUCCAGCAUGUCCUAGAAUUUUCCCUGGACCCAGCUCCUGCCCUCAGGCUCACCCCAGAUGAACAUAGACAAGCUGACAUGAUGGACGCUGACUUGGGGACAGAUGGCACCUGACCCAGCUCCAGGGUGGGGGUUGACAAAGGCAGCUGGAGAGGGGAAAGGUGGUCAGGUUGGGACAACUGUCUGGGCAAAGGCUCAGAGGUGUGGCUGUGCUCAGGGGAUUGGGACACACUGCAAAGUUUCCUUAAGGCUGGAAGUCGCCUGAUAGGCACCGGGGGGUGGGAGAGUGGGGGCGUGGGAGGUAGGGGGCAGGCAGAGGGUUGAACAGAAUAUUUAUUUGCUGAGCUGGAAUUGAGCCCUAGUCCCUUUCCCAACACAGACUUAUCUCUUCCCCCCACAACCAUCCUCACCAGAAUUUUGGCCAGAAACAAGAGGAGUCCUGUCCGAGGAGAGCCCGGCUGGCUGACUGGAAUCCCAAGACAUGCCAAGGUCCCUGGGAAAUGACAGGACACCCAGAUCUGCUGGGAGCAGAGUUCUCAUAGGGUCCCAGCUGAGCCCUGGAACUCCCCAGACCCCCUCUGCCACUCCAUCUCUGCGUCAGCCCAGCACCUGUGCCCUAUCCGGCUUUGGCCACCAUCUCCACCCUGGGGAGGGGGAGCAUAACCCCCUCCAGCCUGAGGUUGGCGCCAAGGUUUAGGAGCCAGCACAGAAGCCUCUGAGAGCCAUAAGGGUAGAAAAGGUUACCCGGUACUAAACCAGCCAGCCUCGGGGUGAUCUCAUCCACUUCCCAAGAUAAGCCCCCUCCCCCACCCUCUGGCCACUGGCCAACAGGUUAACAGAGAGACUCCCUCACUGGAAGCAACUCAGAGUGGCUGAAGCACAGAAGUGGUAGAGAGACAGGUCUCUAUUGCUCAGGCUGGAGUGCAGUGGCAUGAUCAUAGCUCACUGUAACCUCAAACUCCUGGGUUCAAGCGAUCCUUCUGCCUCAGCCUCCCAAGUGGCUGGAACUACAGGGGUGUGCGACCACUCCUGGCUCAUUUUGUUCAACAUUAUUUUGUUACAACAUUGAUGAAGAAAAAAAUCUAUUUCUGGCUGGGGCUACUGUCUGUGUGGAGUCUGUAGAGGACUUUCUCUGGGUACUCUGGUUUCUUCCCCCAUCCCAAAGAUGUGCAUGUUAGAUUAACUAGCUUGUCUGCAUGCUCCCAGUCUGCAUGAGUGUGAGUGUACUCAAGGCAAUGGCAUCCUGUCUAGGCCUGGUUCCCGCCUGGCGCCCUGAGCUGCUGGGAUAGGCUCCAGCCAUCCAUGACCUUGAACUGGAAUAACUGGAUAAAUAAUUCUAUUACUUGUUUUUAUUAAUCUUUCUUUCUUUCUUUUUUUUUUUUUUUUUUGAGAUGGAGUUUCACUCUUGUUGCCCACGCUGGAGUGCAAUGACACAAUCUUGGCUCACUGCAACCUCCGCCUCCUGGAUUCAAGAAAUUCUCCUGCCUCAGCCUCCUGAGCAGCUGGGAUUACAGGUGCCCACCACCAAGCCCGGCUAAUUUUUGUAUUUUUAGGAGAGACAGGGUUUCGCCAUGUUGGCCAGGCUGGUCUCAAAUCCCUGACCUCAGGUGAUCCACCUUCCCCAGCCUCCCAAAGUGCUGGGAUUACAGGUGUGAGCCACCACACCUGGCCUUGUUUCUAUUAGUCUUUCUUACACGUGUUUCAAUGUUUAAUAUGAGAAGCAUUUGGGUCUUUAUUUAGAAGUCUGAUGAUAUUUCUAUCACCAGAAAUAUGCUGUAGGAACUUAACUCUUGUUUAUGUCAAUUAGCCUAUGACAAAAUUGGUUUCCUUGUAUGUCAUUUUGCUUAAAGCUGCAAUUUCCAAGAACUACAUUAAGUGAGGACAUUAUAUAAAGACUUACUAUAUUCUAUUAGUUGUUGUCAGGCCUCUGAGCUCAAGCUAAGCCAUCAUAUCCCUUGUGACCUGCACCUAUACAUCCAGAUGGCCUGGAGCAACUGAAGAUCCAC
rnacentral:lncRNA from 1 species